rnacentral:rRNA from 1 species
CCUACGGGUGGCAGCAGUGAGGAAUAUUGGUCAAUGGACGAGAGUCUGAACCAGCCAAGUAGCGUGAAGGAUGACUGCCCUAUGGGUUGUAAACUUCUUUUAUAUGGGAAUAAAAUGUUCCACGUGUGGGUUUUUGUAUGUACCAUAUGAAAUAGGAUCGGCUAACUCCGUGCCAGCAGCCGCGGUAAUACGGAGGAUUCGAGCGUUAUCCGGAUUUAUUGGGUUUAAAGGGAGCGUAGGUGGAUUGUUAAGUCAGUUGUGAAAGUUUGCGGCUCAACCGUAAAAUUGCAGUUGAAACUGGCAGUCUUGAGUACAGUAGAGGUGAGCGGAACUCGUGGUGUAGCGGUGAAAUGCUUAGAUAUCACGAAGAACUCCGAUUGCGAAGGCAGCUCACUGGACUGCAACUGACACUGAGGCUCGAAAGUGUGGGUAUCAAACAGGAUUAGAUACCCGUGUAGUC